rnacentral:rRNA from 1 species
GCAUGCUUUUACAGUAUGGAAAUUGGUGAUUUAUAAUAACUUGGCAAAUCGCAAAGUGAAAACAGGCGAUAAAUCAUUCAAGUUUCUGACCUAUCAGCUUUCGACGGUAUGGUAUUGGCUUACCGUGGCAGUGACGGUUAACGGGGGAUUAGGGUUCGAUUCCGGAGAGGGAGCCUGAGAAACGGCUACCACAUCUAAGGAAGGCAGCAGGCGCGCAAAUUACCCAAUUCUAACAGUUUGAGAGAGGUAGUAACAAGAAAUAACAAUACAAGGCAAUUAAAAUGCUUUGUAAUUGGAAUGAUAGAAAUUUAAACCCUUUUUAAAGUAUCAAUUGGAGGGCAAGUCUGGUGCCAGCAGCCGCGGUAAUUCCAGCUCCAAUAGCGUAUAUUAAAAUUGUUGCAGUUAAAAAGCUCGUAGUUGAAGUUCUGCUAAAAGUAACCGGUCUGCUUUUAAUAAAAGUGGUAUCUUGGUGUGUAUUUAGCAAUGAUGUCCUUUGAAGUGUUUUUUACUUUAUUGUAAUAAAGCAUAUUCAGGACUUUUACUUUGAGAAAAUUAGAGUGUUUCUAGCAGGCCGACGCUUUGAAUACUGCAGC